UUUUGUCCCUCCAGGUCUCCCGCCCUUGUGCCAGCCCCUUCUCUCCACUCCCAAAGGGAUUCCCAAGGUUCCCUGAACAACAUAAACCUUGGGCCCUUCAGGCAGGUGUCAGCCACAGGAGUGGUGGGUUUACAAGGUCUGCAAAGGGAGGGCUGAGACUGCUCUGACGAGGCAGGGAGAGAGAAGACAGGACUUCACGCUCCCGGCUGGGCUGAUUUCUUCUCAACCAUCAGCAAUCAAAUCCGCAUCACCACUGUGAGAAUUAAUUCCUCCUCAAGCUCCCCUUCAGAGAGGUUGUUCCAUGGACAUCUUAACUGGCCUCACCACUUCCACCCUCCGCUGUGGGCACAGAAGAUAUCUUUAGGAUUCCUCUUUAAGGAGCAUGUGUCCCUUUCCCUGUCUGUGGGUUCAAAUCCAAGGUCAACUGAUUCUG
rnacentral:lncRNA from 1 species